rnacentral:rRNA from 1 species
UACGUAGGGUGCAAGCGUUGUCCGGAAUUAUUGGGCGUAAAGAGCUCGUAGGCGGUCUGUCGCGUCUGCUGUGAAAACCUGGGGCUUAACCCCGGGCCUGCAGUGGGUACGGGCAGACUAGAGUUCGGUAGGGGAGACUGGAAUUCCUGGUGUAGCGGUGAAAUGCGCAGAUAUCAGGAGGAACACCGGUGGCGAAGGCGGGUCUCUGGGCAUUAACUGACGCUGAGGAGCGAAAGCAUGGGGAGCGAACAGG